rnacentral:rRNA from 1 species
CAGUAGCCACGGGAAUACGAAGGGUGCAAGCGUUACUCGGAAUUACUGGGCGUAAAGCGUGCGUAGGUGGUGGUUUAAGUCCGUUGUGAAAGCCCUGGGCUCAACCUGGGAAUUGCAGUGGAUACUGGGUCACUAGAGUGUGGUAGAGGAUAGUGGAAUUUCCGGUGUAGCAGUGAAACGCGUAGAGAUCGGAAGGAACAUCUGUGGCGAAGGCGGCCAUCUGGGACAACACUGACGCUGAGGCACGAAAGCGUGGGGAGCAAACAGGAUUAGAUACCCGCGUAGUCCCUGUCUCUUAUAC